GCCGGUGAUGAUUAGUAUUGGUUGCAGAACAGGCAACAUAGAUUGUCUGUGCAAUGACGACACUUUCGAACUAGGACGGUCUGAGGC
rfam:Triticum aestivum genome assembly, contig: Triticum_aestivum_CS42_TGACv1_scaffold_579686_7BL